UAGAUACCCUGGUAGUCCACGCCGUAAACGAUGUCUACUCGGAGUUUGGUGUCUUGAACACUGGGCUCUCAAGCUAACGCAUUAAGUAGACCGCCUGGGGAGUACGGCCGCAAGGUUAAAACUCAAAUGAAUUGACGGGGGCCCGCACAAGCGGUGGAGCAUGUGGUUUAAUUCGAUGCAACGCGAAGAACCUUACCUACUCUUGACAUCCACGGAAUUCGCUAGAGAUAGCUUAGUGCCUUCGGGAACC
rnacentral:rRNA from 1 species